GGCAGUUUGGUCCCAUGCAAAAGCCAUAAAUUGGUACCAUUUUUUCUGUGGCAGAAUUCAAAAAUAUAACAGCUGGAAAAAGGUAGGCUGGUGAAUGGUGAUAGAAAAUAUGACAUGAAGCAGAGGAUAAUAUAGUCCAUUUCAUGCCAGGGUGUCAAAUCAGAGAGGCACAGAGAGAUGCAUGAUGAAGUGAAGGACACACUUAAGGCCACUUUCAUUGCUCAGGUUUUACCAGGGCAGGAGGGGAUUCAGGGGCCAAAAUGCAACUCCACCGCGCUAAGUUCAUUUCGGGCACGGGAUGGGUUCCACGAGUUCAGGCGAGUCCAUGAUCAUGUGUAACUUCAGCCCGAGCUGCUGUCGGGGCCAAAUGACACAAUGCUACGUCAUAAUGACGUAAGUAACAAAAAUGUAUUUAAAAAAUAUCACAAAUUUCAGAAUUUUUUAUUAUUAUUUAUAAAUACUUAUAUUCUUUACUUCUCACAUCAAAAACUCUAUACGAAUUUAUCUUUUUAUAUCUUAUGUGAAUAAUAAUUACCCUUAAAAACAAAUUUGUAAAAGCUGUCACUAUUAUUCGACCUCUAAAUUAGUAUAGUGUGGUAGAGUAGUAACAGGCAGGCAAGCACCCUCCACCCUUCACGGGUCCUGAUUGCAUGCCACGACCUCUCAUUUUGACUGGUCCCCACAAUCACUUUUUGUUUUAAUGUUUUCAACUUUCUUUAGUUUCUGAUAUGAAUAAUUUUAGCAGUUCAUUAGAGGCGAGUAAAGAUGACCUACUCGCAUUAAAACUGCAUUUUAGGCGUCUAAAUUUCUUUGAUCGGGUUAAUUUUUUGACAUGUUAUAGUAGAGAUGAAGAGGAACAAGUUUGAUGAAGGGAGAAUUUCGAUUUGAGCUCAGGAAGUUGAUGCUUUGGACCUGUAAGCAGGGCUGACGAGUUUGAUAGCUGAGAAGUGCUCGGGAGAGAAUUCUUUGGAAAAUCUUGAGUUUUAAAAGAAGCUACUCGGCAGAGAAAAGAACAAAAGAUAAAAGAAGGCAUGUGUGGGAGACAAAUGAAGAUGGCGUGAGAACAAAAGAUAAAAAUAAUGCACAACUAGGCAGAUAAACAUUUCAUCUAAGAAGCCACUCACCCACUCCACCAUUUGAAACCCACAAAAUGUGGCCAAGUGGUCUUGAUUCUCUGGUUGUCUUAAAUUUAAUGGACUUUUGUUUGUUUAUUCAAUGGUCUCUCUUUUGGCUCAAUUUGUCUUUCUUUUUUUCCCUAUGUUUUUUAAUUUUUAAUUAAUGUAACACUUUAUUACUACUUAGAGCAUGUCCACCGCAGCUCUUUUAGCCAGGGCAAGAGGCCCAUUUCUUCACUUUUGGACCUCCAGCGCAGCGUCUGCAGCCUGGGCAAGUCCUGGGUCCUACCAGCCUGGGCAAGCCCCUGGGCAGAUUUUGCCUGGGCUUCAGCCCGAGUUUGCUGAUGUCAGUGGUGAUGUCACGCUGACAUCAGCGAGUCAAAAAAAUGGAAAAAAAAUGGAAAAAAAAUCAAAAUUUUUUUUAAAAAAAAAACCAAAAAAAUUAUGGAUGUUUUCUCUAUA
rnacentral:lncRNA from 1 species